rnacentral:rRNA from 1 species
AGUGAACGCUGGCGGUAGGCCUAACACAUGCAAGUCGAACGGCAGCACAGUAAGAGCUUGCUCUUACGGGUGGCGCGUGGCGGACGGGUGAGGAAUACAUCGGAAUCUACUCUUUCGUGGGUGCUAGCGUAGGGAAACUUACUCUAAUACCGCAUACGACCUACGGGUGAAAGCAGGGGAUCUUCUGACCUUGCGCGAUUGAAUGAGCCGAUGUCGGCUUAGCUAGUUGGCGGGGUAAAGGCCCACCAAGGCGACGAUCCGUGGCUGGUCUGAGAGGAUGAUCAGACACAUUGGAACAGAGACACGGUCCAGACACCUGCGGGAGGAAGCAGUGGGGAAUAUUGGACAAUGGGGGCAAGCCUGAUCCAGCCAUACCGCGUGGGUGAAGAAGGACUUCGGGUUGUAAAGCCCUUUUGUUGGGAAAGAAAAGCAGCAGGUUAAUACCCCGCUGUUCUGACGGUACCCAGAGAAUAAGCACCGGCUAACUUCGUG